UACGAAGGGGGCUAGCGUUGUUCGGAAUCACUGGGCGUAAAGCGCACGCAGGCGGAUCGAUAAGUCGGGGGUGAAAGCCCGGGGCUCAACCUCGGAAUUGCCUUCGAUACUGUCGGUCUCGAGUCCGGGAGAGGUGAGUGGAAUUCCUAGUGUAGAGGUGAAAUUCGUAGAUAUUAGGAAGAACACCAGUGGCGAAGGUGGGUCACUGGCCCGGUAUUGACGCUCAGGUGAGAAAGCGUGGGGAGCAAACAGG
rnacentral:rRNA from 1 species